rnacentral:lncRNA from 1 species
AAAAGUUACUUUAGCAACUGCCUCAAUAACUGCAUCAUAAUGCGUUGUGUUUGUUGAUACCUUGGGUGACUUGAAGAUUUGGGCGAGACUCUGGACGACCGUAUGUCACUCUAUUCGUUCAGACUCUGAGCGACUUGCAAACUUGGACGAUGUCGUUACCGCACUAUUGGACCCCUUAUUUGGGCAUUCACCUUGAUUCGUUCAAUUGGAUUUCGUUCUUUGGGCUAUCUGAUUUGGAGAUCUUCCAAUUGGGCUUUACUCUCUGGGCUGUUAGAUUUGGGCUGAAUUUUUAUGUGUCAACAAUUACCCCCCAAUAUGGCAGAAUUAAUAAUAAUUAUUGAAUUUUGCCAUAUUCACUUCACGUCUUCAGCAACGUUCACG